rnacentral:RNase_P_RNA from 2 species
CAGGUACAACAGAUAGUGACUUGAGUUUUACAUUCAAGAGGAAAGUCCGAGCUGCUGUAAGACAGUGUUCCAUUUAACGAAUGGCCGUAGCAAUACGAGGGAAAGUGCAACAGAGAUUAGACUUCUGCUUUUUUAAGUAGUAAAGGUGAAAAGGCGGUGUAAGAGACCACCAGUCUUUAUAGCAAUAUAGAGAGCUUGAAAACCCAACAUGGCAGCAAGAAACAAAUGGUUAGCGUCUUACAUUGCUAUUGUUUCGCUAGAGGUACUAUGUAAAUGGUACAGUAGAUUAAUGCUAUCUAGACAAAACUCGGCUUAUAGUUGUACCUAGCCC